rnacentral:piRNA from 1 species
UAAAAUCAGUCCUAUAGAAUCUCAAAAGA